AUGCCAUUGGUGUAUUCCUUUCCACGUACUAUUGAAUCCAAUGAGGAUCAAAACAUGCACAUCCCUUUCUUAGUGAGAAAAAUGUCAGGCAUGGUAGAGAUAUGGAUUGGGGAGCUAGCCAAGCUCAAAGAAAGAGUUGUGACCAACAAGACUAAAUCUAAAGAAGGUUUAGAAGAAGAGAAAGAAGUGAAAAGGGAAACUCAAAGGGAUACUACCACAAUAUCUGAGUCAACAAUAUGUUUGCUUAUGGAUAGAUUUGCACCAUGCUAA